CUUUGAUUAACUUAAUACUAAAGUUUAUGACUCUUAAUCAUACCAAAGUGGAGAAUGACCACUAUUAAAGA
rnacentral:tRNA from 1 species